UCUAUUGAUUGAAUAAUACGGGCAAGGUUGUUGCAAAGAUUUUUCCAUACGUAUGGUUCACAUUCCAUGGUUUAAUUUGCAGAUUGAUAUUUCAUUCAUUUUGAUUUCUACACAUAUUCACAUUUCCAUAUAUUGACAUGACUAGAUGAUUGAGAUGACCGCGUCAUCAACUGCCCAAUAGCUGAAAUGGAACUUCUAGGCACCUCUUUCAGAUCUCAUCGCACCUAUUUCAGUUCUCAUUUCCUAGUUGCAGCUAAUCUAGAUCAGGAUUAAGGUUUAAGGUUCAUGAUCCAUCUAUAAGAGAGGUGUAAUACCCUCUGCUCUUAUCAGUUUAUACUAUUAUUUCCACACCUGUGUCCAAAUAUAUCCAGUGAUUAAUUUUGAUACAAGUUUUUGAUAUUACGAGAUCAUGCUAUCUCCAGUAUGCUCAAGAACAUCUUGAUAUUUACCUAGACAUUUUUAUUUCAACGUGUUGAACAUUAAAAGCCUUUUACCAAUAGCAAUGCACAAGAAAUGUAGGUUCGGUUAUAAUAAUUAACAAGAUAAAGAUAUGUCAAGGGGCUUCUGUCAUGGGCCAUACUGUAUAUCAUCUUAAUUCAAUUAAACUUUUUACUACUAGCUUGCUUCUUGGAACUUCCCAUUUUCUUAUUAUAUGUUCGAGCGUAUGGUACUGGUGACAAGCCUUCCCUGACCCUCACUAGUUAUCUUUAUGUGACUUAUAAUUGUAAGCAGUACACACCAGUCUAAAGUGCAGCACAAAUCCAUAUAAACGACUUUGAAAUACUGAAAUUUAGAGAUUUAAUUCCCUGUUAUGUUGAGUUGUUUGCAAAUUAGGUUGAGCUGUAUCCUGAUUCUCCAUGUUCUUUGUUGAUUGUUCAGCCAGAUGUAGAAAAAUAAAAUUUGUACUUGUAUUUGAGGUUAGAUACUGCUAUUUUCUCAGUAUAACAUUUCUGAUGCAUUUGUUGUCAACUCUUUGUACAAUUUUGCACCUUAUAGUUUCACUCAGUUAUUAUGUGAUAACUUUAGAGGGAUGGAGCCAAGGUUUUGCCUAGUUAGUUUGAGAAACUGUGAUGUCAAACAGGUUCUUACUGUAUCACAUAGAGAUAAUGGUCCUAGUUCUUGCAAUCUUACUUUUAACAAUUGACACUUGACAUGAAAUGUACUACUUCAAUGAGUCUAUUCUUUUUUUAACAGCUCAGUGAGUCCAUUUGGUGCUGGUGGCUAAUUUGAAACAAAAGCUUGCAGUCCAAGCUGUGAUUGAGUGGCAUGAGGUUCUGUUUUUGCAUAUAGUUGAGGAACUUAUUUGUUAUUAGAUGUGCACUUCUGUUUCAGUGACCGGAUCACUGUAUGCUAAUUACAAACGGAUUUGUGUACGAAAUAUAUGUGAUUUAGUAGAACUAUGAUUAAUGUAAUGUAUCUAACGUACUACUUGUGAAAUGGAUCAACUGUGAGAACUAUUUAUAUCAUUUUUACAAUUUUUUUAUUAUCC
rnacentral:lncRNA from 1 species